rnacentral:rRNA from 1 species
UACGAAGGGUGCAAACGUUAUUCGGAAUCACUGGGCGUAAAGGGCGCGUAGGCGGCUUAUCAAGUCAGGCGUGAAAUUCCCGGGCUCAACCUGGGGGCUGCGCUUGAUACUGAUUGGCUUGAAUGCGGGAGAGGAUAGUGGAAUUCCCAGUGUAGAGGUGAAAUUCGUAGAUAUUGGGAAGAACACCGGUGGCGAAGGCGGCUAUCUGGCCCGUAAUUGACGCUGAGGCGCGAAAGCGUGGGGAGCAAACAGG